CACUAGAAUACUUACAUGAAAAUAUUUGUGACACCCACAACUUUCCUGGUGCUUCUUUGAUCCACUCAUAACUCAUGUAUCUUCAUGAGCUUGCAGCAGCUAGACUUCUCCUGAUAUUGACGUGGGAGGAGCUGCCGUUUAUAAUACCCAGCAUGCUUGAGGAGUAGAGGAAAGUCCUGGGAGAUAUGAACACCAUCAUUCUUUCACAGGACCUUUGCCAAUCCCUUGGCUUGCAUCAGGGGGCAAAGUCAUUAGUGGCGAAAUGAGCUCAAGUGAAGAGAACGAGAUUGCUGGGCUCCCAGCGUGGUUUGAAACUUUACCACACAGUGC